rnacentral:rRNA from 1 species
CCUGAACGCUGGCGGCGUGGCUAAGACAUGCAAGUCGAACGGGUGUAGCAAUACACCAGUGGCGGACGGGUGAGUAAUGUAUCGCUAACGUGCCCUGGAAUCUGAGAUAGCCAAUCGAAAGGUUGGGUAAUACCAGAUGAAAUAUCCUUAUCGCAUGAUGAGGAUCUCAAAGGAGCAAUCCGGUCUGGGAGCGGGCGAUAUCGUAUCAGCUAGUUGGUGAGGUAACGGCUCACCAAGGCGACGACGCGUAGCCGGGCUGAGAGGUCGGCCGGCCACAUUGGGACUGAGACACUGCCCCAGACCU